rnacentral:rRNA from 1 species
UACAGAGGGGGCAAGCGUUGUUCGGAAUUACUGGGCGUAAAGGGCGCGUAGGCGGCCUGUUAAGUCGGACGUGAAAUCCCUCGGCUCAACCGGGGAACUGCGUCCGAUACUGGCGGGCUUGAAUUCGGGAGAGGGAUGCAGAAUUCCAGGUGUAGCGGUGAAAUGCGUAGAUAUCUGGAGGAAUACCGGUGGCGAAGGCGGCAUCCUGGACCGGCAUUGACGCUGAGGAGCGAAAGCCAGGG